GAUGAACGCUGGCGGCGUGCUUAACACAUGCAAGUCGAACGAAGCACUUGAGACGGAUUCUUCGGAUGAAGUUUCCUGUGACUGAGUGGCGGACGGGUGAGUAACGCGUGGGUAACCUGCCUCAUACAGGGGGAUAACAGUUAGAAAUGGCUGCUAAUACCGCAUAAGCGCACAGCAUCGCAUGAUGCAGUGUGAAAAACUCCGGUGGUAUGAGAUGGACCCGCGUUGGAUUAGCUAGUUGGCAGGGUAACGGCCUACCAAGGCGACGAUCCAUAGCCGGCCUGAGAGGGUGGACGGCCACAUUGGGACUGAGACACGGCCCAGACUCCUACGGGAGGCAGCAGUGGGGAAUAUUGCACAAUGGGGGAAACCCUGAUGCAGCGACGCCGCGUGAGCGAAGAAGUAUUUCGGUAUGUAAAGCUCUAUCAGCAGGUAAGAAAAUGACGGUACCUGACUAAGAAGCCCCGGCUAACUACGUGCCAGCCGCCGCGGUAA
rnacentral:rRNA from 1 species